ensembl:lncRNA
GAGCCUGCGCCUGCGCCUGCGCCUGCGCCGGGUUUGUCCGGUACGGCUGUGCCGCUCGGUGUGCACCGCUCCUCGGGACAGCGUGUGCCGGGGCCCUCCUCGGGAAAUAUUUCUUCCUUCUAUGGAAACCAACGAGCACCCGGGCCUGCACUCUUGAUAUAAAUACCCGGUGAUGACCGACUUAUUGCGGGCGACCGGGCGACGAAUCCACCGUUGGGACAGCACUGCCGGUGUCAGGCCGUGUAAGGAGUCGCUGUCCUUCUGUUUGUGAGCUCCCUCCAGGCACGUGAAGGCCGCAGUGAGGUCUCCCCAGAGCCUUCUCCAGGCCGCACGAGCCCAACUCCCUCAGCCCUUCCUGUCGGUGAGGCGCUCCGGCCCUCCCAGCACCUUUGCGGGAUUACGGCGGCCCGAGUGCAGCACCUCGCGCGUGGCCGUGUUGCACCUCAUCUGGUUCACGCGGUGCUGCUUUUCAAGCCUGUCCCGGGCCCCCCUGGAGGGCGCACACAGCGCUGCCAUCACUCACCGCUGCGCGAGAUGCAGCUUCUGGUCCCUGGAAUGCUGUGCAGCAUGACAUUAGCACAGAGCUCCUGUCAGAGCAGCGCAGAUCCCAGCCCGGCCAGGCUGCCUGUGCCUGCUCCUGGGCUCCCAGCACUGACAGUGCCCACCAGGCCCAUCUGUGUGGGUCGGGGGGGAGAGAGAGGCAGCAGGCCUUUGGGGUCGGGUCUGGGGGGCUGUGGGGGCCACAGACUAUCACUGAGAUACGAAAUGUCUCUGCAGAGCUGGAAGGUCAGGAGCUGAGGAGAAUAUGAAGGGCUCCCAUCAUGCUGCUGAGUGCCCCUCCUCUCCUGGCCGUACGCUGAGGGCAGGUGGAGGCAGGGACAAGGGUCAGGAGCAAGGGCAGAAUGAUUUUUUGCUUUCUCAGUCUUCCUAGAAAGAAAGAAAGAAAAAAAAUCUAAAAUCUUUAAGAUAUGUGUGGGAUCUGUUGAGUCACGGCCUGAACCACGGAUUGAUCACCUGUGGAAAGGACCCAGUCAGCCCUGAGAGCACAGGUGGAUUUGCCACAAGGUUUCUUACAAUGACUAACAGUAGAAGGAAAUGUGCUCUGAAGGGGUGUGCUUGCAAGUCGGCUCAAGAGAAAUGAAAAUCGUUGUAGCGGGGACCCUGCCUGGGAGCAGAGCAUUACCAAAUACGUUACUAUGCAAAGAAUCUCAUGUUGAAUAAUUUAGAAAUACCUUUUUGUUAGUGGUCAAGUAAAACAUGGCAACAGAGGGUAAUCUCAGGAAAAAGAGGGGAUAAAAACAUCUCUAUCAAGCCCAGACUUGAUGGGAAAGGAAGAGCUGAACAAGUGUGCGUGUCUGGGGGUGUUCAUCUUCUAGACUGCACCCAGAGAAGGAG